AAUGAACGUUGGCGGCGUGGAUUAGGCAUGCAAGUCGCGCGAGAAGUCAUUUAGCUUGCUAAAAGACGGACAGCGGCGGAAGGGAGAGUAACGCGUGGUUAUGUACCCUCGAGACCGGGAUAGUGUCGGGAAACUGGCAGUAAUACCGGAUAACAGCUUCGGAUCAAAUGGUGUGAUUCCGCUCGAGGAUCGGACCGCGUACUAUUAGCUAGUUGGAGGGGUAAUGGCCCACCAAGGCUUAGAUGGUUACCGGGUGUGCGAGCAUGGCCCGGCUCACUGGGACUGAGACACUGCCCAGACAUCUACGGAUGGCUGCAGUCGAGAAUCUUCGGCAAUGGACGAAAGUCUGACCGAGCGACGCCGCGUGCGGGAUGAAGGCCUUCGGGUUGUAAACCGCUGUCAGUUAGGAGGAAAUCCGUGAGGGUUCUCUCUCAUGGUUGACCGAUUUUCAGAGGAAGGACGGGCUAAGUUCGUGCCAGCAGCCGCCGUAAGAC
rnacentral:rRNA from 1 species